rnacentral:rRNA from 1 species
UAGGGAAUAUUGCACAAUGGGCGAAAGCCUGAUGCAGCAACGCCGCGUGCGCGAUGAAGGCCUUCGGGUUGUAAAGCGCUUUUCGGGGAGACGAGGAAGGACGGUAUCCCCGGAAUAAGGCUCGGCUAACUACGUGCCAGCAGCCGCGGUAAAACGUAGGAGCCAAGCGUUAUCCGAAUUCACUGGGCGUAAAGCGCGUGCAGGCGGUAUGGCAAGUUGGAUGUGAAAUCUCCCGGCUCAACUGGGAGAGGCCGUUCAAUACUGCCAAACUAGAGGGCGACAGAGGGAGGUGGAAUUCCGGGUGUAGUGGUGAAAUGCGUAGAUAUCCGGAGGAACACCAGAGGCGAAGGCGACCUCCUGGGUCGCACCUGACGCUGAGAUGCGAAAGCUAGGGGAGCAAACGGG